ensembl:snRNA U6 U6 spliceosomal RNA
GUGCUUUUAUCAGCAGCACAUAUACUAAAAAUUGGAAUGAUACAAAGAAAACUAGCAUGGCCCCUGCACAGGGACCACAGGCAAAUUAAUGACAGGCAAAUUCAU